AGGGUUUGAUCAUGGCUCAGAACGUACGCUGGCGGCACGCCUAAUACAUGCAAGUCGAACGAAGUAGCAAUACUUAGUGGCAGACGGGUGAGUAACAUGUAGGUAUCUUCCCAUUGGUGAGGAAUAACACGAGGAAACUUGUGCUAAUACCUCAUAAGUCUUUACGGAGAAAGCUUUAUGCGCCGAUGGAUGAGCCUGCACUUGAUUAGUUUGUUGGUAGGGUAAUGGCCUACCAAGACAAUGAUCAAUAGCUGAUUUGAGAGGAUGAUCAGCCACAUUGGGACUGAGACACGGCCCAAACUCCUACGGGAGGCAGCAGUAGGGAAUCUUGCACAAUGGGGGAAACCCUGAUGCAGCGAUGCCGCGUGAGUGAAGAAGGCCUUUGGGUUGUAAAGCUCUUUCGUCGGGGAAGAAAAUGACUGUACCCGAAUAAGAAGGUCCGGCUAACUUCGUGCCAGCAGCCGCGGUAAUACGAAGGGACCUAGCGUAGUUCGGAAUUACUGGGCUUAAAGAGUUCGUAGGUGGUUAAAAAAGUUGGUGGUGAAAUCCCAGAGCUUAACUCUGGAACUGCCAUCAAAACUUUUUAGCUAGAGUAUGAUAGAGGAAAGCAGAAUUUCUAGUGUAGAGGUGAAAUUCGUAGAUAUUAGAAAGAAUACCGAUUGCGAAGGCAGCUUUCUGGAUCAUUACUGACACUGAGGAACGAAAGCAUGGGUAGCGAAGAGGAUUAGAUACCCUCGUAGUCCAUGCCGUAAACGAUGUGUGUUAGACGUUGGAAAUUUAUUUUCUGUGUCGCAGCGAAAGCAAUAAACACACCGCCUGGGGAGUACGACCGCAAGGUUAAAACUCAAAUGAAUUGACGGGGACCCGCACAAGUAGUGGAGCAUGUGGUUUAAUUCGAAGAUACGCGCAGAACCUUACCAACACUUGACAUGUUCGUCGCGACUUUAAGAGAUUAAAGUUUUCGGUUCGGCCGGACGAAACACAGGUGCUGCAUGGCUGUCGUCAGCUCGUGUCGUGAGAUGUUGGGUUAAGUCCCGCAACGAGCGCAACCCUCACUUUUAGUUGCCAUCAUUUAGUUGGGCACUCUGAAAGAACUGCCAGUGAUAAGCUGGAGGAAGGUGGGGAUGACGUCAAGUCCUCAUGGCCCUUACGUGUUGGGCUACACACGUGCUACAAUGGCAUUUACAAUAGGAAGCAAGACGGCGACGUUAAGCAAAUCCUAAAAAAAUGCCUCAGUUCGGAUUGUACUCUGCAACUCGAGUACAUGAAGCUGGAAUUACUAGUAAUCGCGGAUCAGCGCGCCGCGGUGAAUACGUUCCCGGGUCUUGUACACACCGCCCGUCACACCAUGGGAGUUGGUUCUACCUUAAGGCAAAGUUUAAUACCUUUGACCACGGUAUAGUCAGCGACUGGGGUGAAGUCAUAACAAGGUAACCGUA
rnacentral:rRNA from 1 species